rnacentral:rRNA from 1 species
GACAGAGGGUGCAAACGUUGCUCGGAUUUACUGGGCGUAAAGCGCGUGUAGGCGGGCGACUAAGUCGGAUGUGAAAUCCCUGGGCUCAACCUAGGAACUGCAUUCGAAACUGGUCACCUAGAGUGAUGGAGAGGAAAGUGGAAUUCCCGGUGUAGAGGUGAAAUUCGUAGAUAUCGGGGAGGAACACCAGUGGCGAAGGCGGCUUUCUGGACAUUUACUGGACGCUGAGACGCGAAAAGCGUGGGGAGCAAACAGG